AGUAGAACUAGUGCAACAGCUUUGACUAGACACUUUCACUGUUCCACAGCCUCCGGAUUGAGCACUCUCCACAUUGACCAACUUUGAAGACCCUUCUUGUGUCAAACCAGUUCCACAACAAUGUGAUUUGCAAUCACCACCACCUUCAGUUUCCAAGCCUGAAACCACCAAGCUAACAGGCUUCUCACCACAGAUUUUUGUCACUUCUUCUUUGUCCAUACAACAUCCCGAGGAACAAUCCGUGCUGUCUGUCUCUUCCUCUGAAGCUAGAGUGAUUUCCGCUGUUUGCUUUUCAUCGUUGCAGCAACCAGACUUGCAAUGUCCUUCAUUCUUUAUCUCCAGAUCACAUUGCUCCUCCACUUCCCCUUCUGUGUUUCCACAACAAACCAACUUGAGAUCAUCACAACAUACACCAGUUUCCAUGUCCAAACCUUCCUUCUCCACCAACACAGCAUGCUUCUUCUCAUGGGAGCUUUGUUUCACUAUCCCCUCAUUCACACAACAUCCCGAGGAGCAAUCUUGAUCGUCUGUCUCUUCCUCAGAAGCAAGAGUUAUUUCCCCGGUUUGUUUUUCAUCACUGCAGCAACGAGACUCGCAGUGUCCUUCAAUCUUUAUCUCCAGAUCAGUUUGUUCUCCAACUUCCCCUUCUGUCUUCCCACAACAAACCAACUUGAGAUCACAACUUACACCAGUUUCCAUGUCCAAACCUGCCUUCUCAUGGCACCUUUGUGUCACUGUCCCCUUGUUCUCGCAGCCAGACUUGCAGUUUCCUUCAUCUUUAAUCAGCACUCCUUUCUCCGGGUAAGAUUUGUCCUCACUAGCAAGCAACAAACCUAUUUCCUUAACCUUCUCCUCUUUAUUGUCACAACAGCUUGUUUUGCAGGGUUCCUUUCUCUGCAACUCUAUUUCCAAACCAGUUAAUGCCUGACCAAUAAUCUGCACCGGGACAACAAUUUCCUCAGCAUGCUUCUUCUCCUCGCAAUGGCUAGAUUUGCAGUCUCCAGCACUCUCCAUUUGCUGUUUUGAUUUCUCACAACAGCUCUUUGCCACUACUUCCUCUACCUUCUCACUUUUGUUAGCACAACAACCUGAACCACCUUUCAUUUUCAAGUCAUGUUUGACAUGACUAGACUUCUUACAUGAGCUCAAUGAAAUAAUGUCUCCCACUGCUUUCCUAGUUUCCUCACCGCAACAACCAUCUCUCACAAGCGGCUUCACUUUGUCUUGCUUCUUAUCGCCAUAACAACCAGGGUGAGAAUGAUCAGAACUGGUUUUACUACUUGGUUUCAUCAUCACAACCUUCUCUUGAUUUUUCUUAUCUCCACAACAGCUUGAGUUACAUUGACCAUUCCCGCUCUUUUUUAACAAGCCUGCUUCUAAGUCCACAACAUCAUCAUCAUCGCCUUCGAGUUUCCUACCAUUCAACAUAGAUGUAGAAGCCCUGUAACACUUUUUGUUCCCAAUCUUUUUCUUCUCUCGCAGCAGCAACAUACUAUUGAGAAUCACAAGAAGACAAGUCCCUACAUCAACAAGAACAGCUGCCCAAAUCAAAGGAUGACCAGCAAACGCCAAAGCAAGUAUUCCAGCUUUUAAAACGAUUGAAAGAAACACGUUUUCAACAACUUUGCGCCGAGCUCUUCUCGCUAGCUUUACCGCUUGUGGUAUCCUUCUUAUGUCAUUAGACAUUAGAAUAAUAUGACCAGUCUGCGUAGCAAGCGCCGAGCCAGAGAUUCCCAUGGAGAUACCAAUAUCAGCUGUAGCUAAAGCUGGUGCAUCAUUCACACCGUCCCCUACCAUUGCGGUUGGUCCUUCUUUCUUAAACUCUUGUAUGAUUUUGGAUUUAUCUUCAGGAAGAAGUUCUCCAUGUACAACAUCUAAAACAUUCCCUAGCUGUUUCAUAAAACAUGUCAAGGUAUUAUUAAAUAACCUCUUGGCUUUAGAAAGUGAUUAAAAUUAUGGUUUUUAGUCUCACCUGUUCUUGAGCAUGCAUUGCCGCGGCUUGACUAUCUCCCGUUAGCAUUGCGGUUUUGAUGCCUAGAGAUUUCAGUUCCGUCAUUGCUUGAGAUACACCGGAUCUACAAGCAUCAGAAAGAUUGAAAACUCCCGCUAGUCUUUCACCUACAUAGACGUAUCCAACAGUCUUCCCACCUUUGGUAUCAAUUUCAGUCUCUGGAACUGUCAAGAAAGAACAGUCAAGUGAUCAGACUAAAGAAUAACAAAACCUCAAAAAACUACAUUGAGGUUUUUUUAUUACAAGUACCGGUUGAACAACCAGCUCGAGAAGCAAUCCUUUUGUUCCCGAUGUAGAUAUCGUUCCCAUCAAUCUUCCCAUAGAUUCCUUCACCUGGAAAAUUCUGGUAAUCUUCAACCUCUUCAGGCCUAGGCUCAACAGAAACGGAUUUCGCGUAGUCCACGAUUGUUGCAGCCAUUGGAUGACUUGAUUUGCUUUCAACACUUGAUACCCUGAAACAUUAUAUAAUAAGAAAGUUUCAGUCAUAAGUUAUUUCAGCAAACUUGUUUUAGUCAGAACACAAGUUUAGUUUUACCAGUAAAGCAAGCUGCGUAGGCUUAUAUCUCUAGAGAGUGACUUGAAAUCUAUGACAAUGAACUCUCCUCUUGUAAUAGUCCCGGUUUUGUCGAAAGCAGCGAUCUUGAUCUUUGAGAGAGUGUCCAGAUAAUCAGCACUUUUGAUCAGAAGCCCGGAAGUUGCUG
rnacentral:lncRNA from 1 species